UGCCAGCCGCCGCGGUAAUACAGAAAGAAUUAGCGUUGUUCGGAAUUACUGGGCGUAAAGCGCACGUAGGCGGACUGGAAAGUAUGGGGUGAAAUCCCAGGGCUCAACCCUGGAACUGCCUCAUAAACUAUCAGUCUAGAGUUCGAGAGAGGUGAGUGGAAUUCCAAGUGUAGAGGUGAAAUUCGUAGAUAUUUGGAGGAACACCAGUGGCGAAGGCGGCUCACUGGCUCGAUACUGACGCUGAGGUGCGAAAGUGUGGGGAGCAAACAGGAUUAGAUA
rnacentral:rRNA from 1 species